rnacentral:tRNA from 3 species
CUCACUGUAGUUUAUUAUAAAACAUUGACUUGCAAAAUCGAAAAAGGAUAAAUAUCUCAGUGUGU